rnacentral:lncRNA from 1 species
CUGGAUACGGUUUUAGCGGAGAGCAUCGCCACCUUAGCCCUCACAAUUUGAUCUCCGCAUCAUGAUAAGCUUACCGCAACCGGUACGAGCUUCUCAUCAAAGUGUAAAGGAGGCACAACCUCUUAGCAUCUAUCAGUGACGACGUUCUCAAGCUCCAUCCCGAGCUCUGUUUUUAGAAUCUUGGUGCAUUAUCUUCCAACUCCAAAAUCUUGCAGUCACAGUUACGAUUUGUUUCAUCUCCACCGCAAAGUUA